rnacentral:sRNA from 1 species
UGCUAUAAUAGCAGAACUAGCAUUAGCAAAAGAAAAUAUAGGGGAAAAUACAUUUAAGUUUCUAAAUAAUCAUAAUAUAAAUUCUAAUGAACGUAUUGAUAAUAAAAAUAUCAAGAUUGAAAAUACUCCUUUAUUAAGUUCAAAAACAACUCCAACAAUGUCAAACUUAUUGUUAAAUAGCCGGUUUCUACAUUGUCAUGACCUUCAAUGUGAUGUCAAUGUAGAGUGUAUGAUACAUAGUUGUGGUCCUUGUUUUAUCGAAGAUCAUUCUCCUGGGAGAGGUUUUUGUCUUGAUAAAGUGGGUUCAAGUUAACACAGUUUUUCAUUUUACAAUGACAAUAUAAUGAGAUCUUUUCAACUUUUUUUAAAUGCAUUUUUAAAGUAAAGAAGAGUACUAAGAGGAGGCUGCCCUUAGCAUCAUUUUUCAAGGCGUGGGCAAACGCGCCUCUUGAUUAUAGGCGAAGCCAGUUAGUUGUGUUAUAGUCUUUUUUGUGGGU